UAGACAAAGAAAGGCAGCCGUUUCUGAUAAAAAAAGACCCGAGGCUAUCAUCUCUAACAUUCUGAAGCUUCAGCCAUUCAACACAACACACACGACCCACCUGAACUUCAUUAUCUUCAGCACACAAUACACAACCCAAAAAUCAUCAGCAACGAUCCCACCCAAAACCCAGCAACCUAAAGCCUCACACCACCCCAACCUCCCUCGAAACCAGCUGGAAUCCAGCCGAGGAACCAGUCAAAAAAUAGCCUAAAUUUGCAGUCGAAAUCAGCUCCAAAAACCUUAAACCAGCCAUGGACAUCACCUGAACUCCAAUCCCAAAUCAAAUCCGGUUGGAUCCAAUAUUUCUGGUAACUUGUAUAUUUUUCGGCAAUUUUCAGUCCAAGACUCGCCUUCACUCACUGCCAAAGAGGGUCGAAACAAACUUCUGGAUUCAAAACUUGAAUUCUGGAUUUGGAAACAAAAACCCUUCAAAAACAGAAAACAAAUAUAGAAAUAAAUGAGGAUUUCCAUAUUUCAUGGGGAUUUCAUUAAUUAAUAUGGUUUUCCAGUAAAGUUCAGUCCGUCGAUUCCAAUUGAGGUUCCGGUCGCCGUUCUUGUUGGAGCUCGGAUUUCUGCAACUGUUUUCUUCUCAAGUGUGUCGCCGAAUCUUCUUCUGCUUGUAAUCGUUUCCAAAUAGAUUUAAUCGAAAGAAAUUUCAAACAUUCUGAUGGUAAAUCGGUUCUCAAGGUCACUGAUGAUAACGAGUUUCUAUCUUUGCAUUGCAAUCUAGUGCUAAUAUUUGGGUCCUUUUGUUGUCGUUCUCUCUUGAAUCCUAUUGGGGUGUGUGUAAAAGCUACAGUCUGCACGAGAUUUGCUGUAUAAUGACGUUCGUGUUUUUAUAAAGAAGGAUAAAUUAGCUUGUCUUAAGCUUUGAUGAUCGAAAUCAACUUGUUUCAUGUUUUUGGCAUUUGAUACACGACCAAUAUGGAGCUUCAUUUGUUCUGAAUGUUGGUAGUAUUGGCCAUUUUAUGUUGAAUAGUCUGUUUGUUAUUAGGGGUUCAAUGCCAUUGAGAUUCUGUUUGUGUGAUAGCUCCUCUUUGUAAUUGAUAGCAAAUUGAGUGUGAAUAGCCCGAUGACAUGGGGAUAAUUUUCUUAUAAAUCAGAUUUGGCCUCUGCUUUUAUAUUG